rnacentral:rRNA from 1 species
GUCUACGGCCAUACCACCCUGAACGCGCCCGAUCUCAUCUGAUGUCAGAAGCUAAGCAAGGUUGAGCUUGGUUAGUACUUGGAUGGGAGAAGUACAACACUUGUACACU